rnacentral:rRNA from 1 species
AACGAACGCUGGCGGCAUGCCUAACACAUGCAAGUCGAACGAGACCUUCGGGUCUAGUGGCGCACGGGUGCGUAACGCGUGGGAACCUGCCCUUAGGUUCGGAAUAACUCCCCGAAAGGGGUGCUAAUACCGGAUAAUGUCUUCGGACCAAAGAUUUAUCGCCUUUGGAUGGGCCCGCGUUGGAUUAGCUAGUUGGUAGGGUAAAAGCCUACCAAGGCUACGAUCCAUAGCUGGUCUGAGAGGAUGAUCAGCCACACUGGGACUGAGACACGGCCCAGACUCCUACGGGAGGCAGCAGUGGGGAAUAUUGGACAAUGGGCGAAAGCCUGAUCCAGCAAUGCCGCGGGAGUGAUGAAGGCCUUAGGGUUGUAAAGCGCUUUUACCCGGGAUGAUAAUGACAGUACCGGGAGAAUAAGCGCCGGCUAACUCCGUG